UUAUUUCACCCAAUCCCAAAAUGAGGUUAGUCCCUUGGGCCCAAGGGUCGGACCCAACAACAAGCACGGUCUCGUUAGCUCUGCAACAUAUGAUGGCUUCAUCAGGCAGAAAGAACUAAUCGCCCAACGAGAGCUGGAGUUGAUUCCUACACCUGAGCCCUUUGGAGACCUUGAGGUUACCACAGAGAAAGAGGGUCUGGGUGAAGAGGAGGAUCAGUAUGAGAUUGGAACCUAUUGAAAGGUCCACUAUCCAAUUUCUAGAAUUGGAAGGCGCUGUUGUCGUGGUGGCCCAUAAUAGACUUGCUCCAAGCAGCAGCACACUCUAACUCACUGAGGUUGGUGCCGGUCCUGAUGUCCCAGCACACAAGGAGGAUGACCCUACAACAAAGUGACAUAAGCACCACAUCUGCUCCUGGCGAACUCAACCAGUGAAGGGACUACCACAACACUGAGACGAUAUCUUAAGAGAUGCCUGUUAAUCUCUUUGAAAAAUAAAUGAUUUAAUGCUA